UGUGUGUGUAACUCUGUGUUGUGUGUGUAACUCUGUGUUGUGUGUGUAGCACCAGGGUUCUGAAAAAACAUCUCAUUUCACUGCAUCAGUAAUAUAUGAUUUAUAUGACAAUAAAUGCUUCUUGACUUGAUGUACUGCCUGAUCACCAAUGUCCUAGAAAGCAAUACACUAUGAGGUGUAGAAUUAAAAGCUGUAGAAAUAAAAAGUUGUAGAAGAAAGAGUUGUAGAAUAAAAAGUUGUAGAAUAAAAAGUUGUAGAAUUAAGAGGUGUAGAAAUAAAAGGUGUAGAAUUAAGAGGUGGAGAUCCUGCUGAGUUUCCUCCUGGUCUGUGUGGUGGAGAUCUUGUGUUUGUUAGUAUCACACUGACUAUCAGCAGAAACGUGUCCCAUGGAGGUGAACCUGAGACACUGCCGUCAGACUCUACACUUUCAUCUCCAACAGUUUCCUCCACUGUACUUCAGUAAGCCACAACAAAAACUCCAGAUUCACCACAAAUUGUUGAUCAGGAAACCAUGUGAAAGUGUCCGUGUUGAGGUCAGUAAAUGAUGUGGUUCCCUGCUGCAGUGUCUGUAACCUGAGAGUGCUGUACCAUCGCACACUGUACCACAGCGCCCUCUGCUGACAGUGUGACAUGAAACGUGUGCGUGUGGGCAAGGCUGUAUUGUGUGAUCAGGAGGCGCAUAAAAGCCGAGGGAGCGGAGCUGUGUGUGCCGGUAGUGCCGUGUGAGCACUGAGCGACCAGACACCUGUGUGAUAAAAUAAAAAUAACACUAAAUAAAGAACGGCGGUGACGCCGGUGAACUGA